GCCAGCAUGGUGUAGUGGUUUGAACGUUGGAUUAUGACUCUGGAGACCAGGAUUCGAAUCCCAUCUUGGCC